UGGGCUGGCUCCAGGUGGGCUCAGGGAUUGGCUCUCCCUGCCCUCGGGGUGAUGAGAGACACUCCCUGCCUCUCGCAGGCCUCGUCCAUCACCCCCAGGGUGCAGGGCAAAGACUGCCACCUCCAGAGUGCUCCAUGACCCAGGGACAGCGCAGUGGAAGGCACAGUGGGGACCCAGGGUCUAUCCCUGUGCCGGCAGGUUCUGUAGCCCAUAAAACCAUGCUUCUGCGGCAUUUUUAAUGACAUGGGAAAUUCUCAUGAUACGUCGUCAACUAAACCUUUUAUAAAAGAGCAUUCCAAGUGCCAUAUGCCGUGUAACCCCAGCAUCUACAAGCAUGUGAGCUGGAAAGAGGAAAUGCUCAGAUUUCACCUUCGGAUCUGCAGAUGAGGAAACCAAGACCUAGAGAGCCUGUCCAGGAUCCUGCUGGAAAGGAGUGGAACUGGGACUCCUCUCCGAGGCCUGCAACUCCCAAACCGAGGCUGGGACCCACUGGGGCUCUUACAGGCCAGAGGCCUCCACGUGGCAUGGUGGGGGAGGAAGCAGCUGCCAGCCUUCUGAGUGCCAGAGAGCAGGCAGCUGGGCAGCAGCCACCUUCCACAGUCCUUUCCCCUUGGACUCCGGGGAGGGGACGGGGCAGCAGUCCAGCCCUACGCCCUGCACACCUGGACUGGCCCCUCCUCUAGCCCCCUCCUCCCUUGGCCUCACCUCCAGGAGGUGGGGUGGGCAGUGUGUGUGAGGACAGACAUGCCCAGCAGGGCUCCAGGACCCGGGACACCAGGCCUCACCUUGCCUGGCCCACCCGGCUCAUUUCUGUCCU
rnacentral:lncRNA from 1 species